rnacentral:siRNA from 1 species
UGUGGUGUCUUUUGUUGUUGUUG